GUAUAUAAACCUCAACAGUCGCAGCGGAAUAUAAACCAGAGUAAAUUCAAAUAUACAUGUUAUGAAUAAAUAAAUUACAUCAACAUAGAUGCAUCUCAAAAAUCCCAACAAACGGGUAAUCUACAAACAUAACAAAAUCCAAAGAUAACCUAAUCUAGACCGACACAACGAAGCCUAGAUCAGAGCCGACUAAUUCUAAACACCGAUAUCGGAGAAAGCUCCCGAUAUCCACCAAGCACAAGA
rnacentral:lncRNA from 1 species